AAUUUUGCUCAAUGGGCGCAAGCCUGAAGCAGCAACGCCGCGUGCGGGAUGAAGGCCUUCGGGUUGUAAACCGCUUUUACCAGGGACGAUAAUGACGGUACCUGAUGAAUAAGUCACGGCUAACUACGUGCCAGCAGCCGCGGUAAUACGUAGGUGACCAGCGUUGUCCGGAUUUACUGGGCGUAAAGAGCGCGCAGGCGGUCGUUCAAGUCGAGUGUGAAAGCCCCCGGCUCAACUGGGGAGGGUCACUCGAUACUGAUCGACUCGAAGGCAGGAGAGGGAAGCGGAAUUCCCGGUGUAGUGGUGAAAUGCGUAGAUAUCGGGAGGAACACCAGUGGCGAAGGCGGCUUCCUGGCCUGUUCUUGACGCUGAGGCGCGAAAGCUAGGGGAGCAAAC
rnacentral:rRNA from 1 species